rnacentral:rRNA from 1 species
AUCCCUACGGGAGGCAGCAGUGAGGAAUAUUGGUCAAUGGUCGGGAGACUGAACCAGCCAAGCCGCGUGAGGGAUGAAGGUACAGAGUAUCGUAAACCUCUUUUGUCAGGGAACAAAGGCGGGGACGCGUCCCCGGAUGAGUGUACCUGAAGAAAAAGCAUCGGCUAACUCCGUGCCAGCAGCCGCGGUAAUACGUAGGUGGCGAGCGUUAUCCGGAAUGAUUGGGCGUAAAGGGUGCGCAGGCGGUCCUGCAAGUCUGGAGGGAAAC